UACGUAGGGUGCAAGCGUUGUCCGGAAUUAUUGGGCGUAAAGAGCUCGUAGGCGGUUUGUCGCGUCUGCUGUGAAAACUCGGGGCUUAACCCCGGGCCUGCAGUGGGUACGGGCAGACUAGAGUGCGGUAGGGGAGACUGGAAUUCCUGGUGUAGCGGUGAAAUGCGCAGAUAUCAGGAGGAACACCAGUGGCGAAGGCAGGCUCUGGGGCGUAUGACUCUGAGGACGAGAACGUGGGGGAGCAAACAGG
rnacentral:rRNA from 1 species